AGCCGCGGUAACACCGGCAGCCCUAGUGGUGGCCGCUUUUAUUGGGCCUAAAGCGUCCGUAGCCGGACAGGCGAGUCUUUGGGUAAAUCCUACGUCUUAAGCGUGGGAAUUCUAAAGAUACUACCUGUCUUGAGGCCGGGAGAGGCUGGAGGUACUCCUGGGGUAGGGGUAAAAUCCUAUAAUCCUGGGGGGACCACCGAUGGCGAAGGCAUCCAGCUGGAACGGGCCUGACGGUGAGGGACGAAACCCAGGGGAGCGAGCCGGAUUAGAUACCCGGGUAGUCCUGGGCGUAAAUGAUGUGGGCUUGGUGUGAGCGCAUCGACGAGGUGCGCUUGUGCCGUAGGGAAGCCGUUAAGCCCACCGCCUGGGGAGUACGGUCGCAAGGCUGAAACUUAAAGGAAUUGGCGGGGGAGCACUACAAGGGGUGGAGGCUGCGGUUUAAUUGGAUUCAACGCCGGGAAACUCACUGGGAGCGACAGCAGAAUGACAGCCAGGCUAACGACCUUGCCAGACAAGCUGAGAGGUGGUGCAUGGCC
rnacentral:rRNA from 1 species